rnacentral:rRNA from 1 species
CGCGUGCACUGGUUCGGCCGGGCCUUUCCCUCUGGGGAACCGCAUGCCCUUCACUGGGUGUGUCGGGGAACCAGGACUUUUACUUUGAACAAAUUAGAUCGCUUAAAGAAGGCCUAUGCUCGAAUACAUUAGCAUGGAAUAAUAGAAUAGGACGUGUGGUUCUAUUUUGUUGGUUUCUAGGACCGCCGUAAUGAUUAAUAGGGACAGUCGGGGGCAUCAGUAUUCAAUUGUCAGAGGUGAAAUUCUUGGAUUUAUUGAAGACUAACUACUGCGAAAGCAUUUGCCAAGGAUGUUUUCAUUAAUCAGGAACGAAAGUUAGGGGAUCGAAGACGAUCAGAUACCGUCGUAGUCUUAACCAUAAACUAUGCCGACUAGGGAUCGGACGAUGUUAUAUUUUGACUCGUUCGGCACCUUACACGAAAGUAAAGUUUCUGGGUUCUGGGGGGAGUAUGGUCGCAAGGCUGAAACUUAAAGAAAUUGACGGAAGGGCUCCACCAGGGGUGGAGCCUGCGGCUUAAUUUGACUCAACACGGGGAAACUCACCAGGUCCAGACACAAGUAGGAUUGACAGAUUGAGAGCUCUUUCUUGAUUUUGUGGGUGGUGGUGCAUGGCCGUUCUUAGUUGGUGGAGUGAUUUGUCUGCUUAAUUGCGAUAACGAACGAGACCUUAACCUGCUAAAUAGCCCGUAUUGCUUUGGCAGUACGCUGGCUUCUUAGAGGGACUAUCGG